rnacentral:sRNA from 1 species
CCCGAGUAGCUGGGAUUACAGGCAUGUGCCACCACGCCCAGCUAAUUUUGUAUUUUUUUAGUGGAGACGGAGUUUCUCCAUGUUGUUCAGGCUGGUCUCGAACUCCCGAGCUCAGGUGAUCCGCCCACCUCAGCCUCCCAGAGUGCUGGAAUUACAGGCGUGAGCCACCUUGCCCGGCCACCUUCUUUCAUUUUUAAGUCACCUGAGAAGAGAUGAACUGGGAAGUGACAUAAGAGGGGAACUAUAUAUCUUUGAAUAGGUUAUUUGCUUUCCAAAGUCGAAGAAAAAGUUGGCUCCCCAGAACGUCCACUCUCAGAUCUGGGGCUUAUAAGCUAUCGCAGUUACUGGAAAGAAGUACUUCUCCGCUACCUGCAUAAUUUCCAAGGCAAAGAGAUUUCUAUCAAAGAAAUCAGUCAGGAGACGGCUGUGAAUCCUGUGGACAUUGUCAGCACUCUGCAAGCCCUUCAGAUGCUCAAGUACUGGAAGGGAAAACACCUAGUUUUAAAGAGACAGGACCUGAUUGAUGAGUGGAUAGCCAAAGAGGCCAAAAGGUCCAACUCCAAUAAAACCAUGGAUCCCAGCUGCUUAAAAUGGACCCCUCCCAAGGGCACUUAAAGUGACCUGUCAUUCCGAGCCAGCGAACCCCAGCAGUAGGAAUCCGUACCCUAGGGAUCUGUCUGUCAUUUCUGUUGCUCUUGUGAUUGGCAAGUACAGUAUCCUUUGGGAAGGCCAUCCCCCUCAGGACUGUCCUGGCUCCGACCUUUGUGUACACUGCAGACGCUGGUUCUGAGGAACUGUUGUUUCGGCCUCAGUGAGGUUGCCUGGAUGGGAUCUGUAUUAGACUUGAGUGCAGGUCUCUCAGCACUGACCCAA